UCAGAGGUGAAAUUCUUGGAUU
rnacentral:misc_RNA from 1 species